rnacentral:rRNA from 1 species
CCUACGGGUGGCAGCAGUGGGGAAUAUUGCACAAUGGGGGAAACCCUGAUGCAGCGACGCCGCGUGAAGGAAGAAGUAUUUCGGUAUGUAAACUUCUAUCAUCAGGGAAGAAAAUGACGGUACCUGACUAAUAAGCACCGGCUAACUACGUGCCAGCAGCCGCGGUAAUACGUAGGGUGCAAGCGUUAACCGGAUUUACUGGGUGUAAAGGGCGCGUAGGCGGGUUAGCAAGUCAGAAGUGAAAGCCCGGGGCUCAACCAUGGGACUGCAUUUGAAACUGUUAAACUAGAUUGCAGGAGAGGUAAGUGGAAUUCUUAGUGUAGCGGUGAAAUGCGUAGAGAUUAGGAGGAACACCAGUGGCGAAGGCGGCUUACUGGACUGUAAAUGACGCUGAGGCGCGAAAGCGUGGGGAGCAAACAGGAUUAGAUACCCCUGUAGUC